rnacentral:lncRNA from 10 species
UGGGUACUACAGUGGAUGUGAGUGUGUAGACCUUGUACAAUAGAGCUUAUAGGCUAAUGAGAAGACAGGAAGAAACAACAGGAACACAUAUAGCUGGAAUGCAGAUGGGAUCUGUGCUACUUACGCUAGCCAUGGGAUGAUUAGAACAAGAUAAGAGACAUGAGGAAGACUUCUUCAAGGAGGUGCUCAAGCCAUGUUUUGGAAAAGAGAACUCAAGGUCUGGCAGGGAGAAAGGAGCAAGGGCAAGUAGAGCUGCAGCUGUCUGGCGCCACUGUAAUGCUGUCUCCUCCUCUGAGUGAGUUCAUCCUGGAAACAUUUUCUCCCAUAAGACAUGCACAGGUCUUACGUUUACAUGUUUCACUGAAAGAAAUUUGAUUCCACUGCUGGGAUGACAAGGAAGACUGAAGAAACCUAAUCCUAGGUGCUGCCACUGGGACAAACAAGAAGCACCAGACACAGUGCUGUUUUAGGGUGGGGCAGAAUUAUGCUGAGGGAAAAGUUAUUAUCACUCUUUAAGGCCAAGGAAACCACAAUUUUUAAAGAAGCUUCUAGAAAUUCUACCCAGUAGAAAAUAAAGAUAAACUUCUGUAAGGAAUUUCAUUCUUUUCAGAAUUCGCAAUCUGAAAUGUAGAAGCCCAUUCCUUCAUGGUUCUCAUAGAUAUUUAGUGUGACUGAGGGGUCAGUGGACUCAUAGCACUCAGGCCAGGCUUCUCCUGAGUCCCUUUCUUUGGCACAGAGGGAGUGAUUCACAGAUCCUCUACCCCCAAAGGCAUUGUUUCCUCAUCUCAACAAGAAUCCAGCACCCGUCAUUUUAUCAGCACACGUCACUAGCUUCUCAAGUGAGACUACUCUGAAGUGAUCUGUGUUUGAAGAAUGCCUUUCCCUUUCCCUUACGUAACUAAGAGGAUGAAAAAGGACACUCACUCCCUAUAUGAAAGCUGUGUAUUGUAAGCAGUCAUCUUGCCUGGCUGAGAACUCUAGGAUCUUUUUCUCUGCUCUCCUUUAGGCUGACACUCAUAGCCAGACCUUCUGUUUAUUAGCCCCCUGAAUCUAUUUGAAAAUAUUUUUGCUUUCAUUAUAAUAUAAGUCACAUUCUUCUUGCAUCUGCCGCUGCAUUUUCCAAAAGGGUUAUGUCAAGGGAAAUUCAACACUCACUUUUCUCAUUAUUUGCUUACCAGCUUGCUCACUCAUCAAAAUACCAGAGUUAUUUGAUACUUCAGAAGAUUAUUUCCCCCUUUAGAUGAUGUGUCAAGGGAAGGGGAGCUGGCCCCAGUAUCAGGUGACAGAAUUUUCUUCGCAUUUCUACUGUUGACUCAAUAAAUGCCCUUGGGCAAGUCAUGGAGCCUCUUCAUACUUUGGUCUCUAGGGAUAAAAUCUGCCAACCGCAGCAUGUGUAUUUGAACCUCAGUGUCCUCUGGAAUAAAAAUAGGAGGGGACCAGGUGUCCAUGUGACCCCAAGCUGAUGGGAAGAGGAUGACCAUAGGACUUCAAAAUGUCCUUGAGCUGUAAAUUCUGUAAUAGGGUCAGGCCCACCAGUGGCCUUCAGGCAUUUGUCCAGUGGUGUAUGGAUAAGUUCUAGCACUUGAGUUUUUUCAGCACAAAGGAGGCACUAUGUCAACCUCCCACCCAUGGGUAUUCUGUUUGCUCUGUGUCCCCGCUUCUCUGCAUUUCCCUGCCAUAUUACUCACCACUGGUCGUAAUUACUUGCUUGAUCACUUGUCUCCUGGUCUGUAAGCUGUUUGAGGGAGGGGAGCACAUCUGCCCUAUGCAACACUGUACCCUCAGUGUGGUACACAGGAGCACAUGCCUGACAUAUGGAAGUUAUGUGAGAAACAUUUGUGAAGUGGACAAAUUAAUAAUGCUGCCUGGACUCUAUAGAAAUCCCUUUUCUGCAUCAUUAAGGUUCCCAAGCCUGGCCAAGAAGUAGUGGGAUCUGAUUAGCCUCAUCUCCUCAUAACCCUACUUCCUAUAAUAUUAUAAUGAAAGCAGAUCUCAGCCCAAAUGCUGGCACACAUACAUAUUUAUCAGUAAGAAGAUCCAAAAUCGUUCAUGCAGCUGGUUCUGUAAGCUUGGCAAAUUUCCAGCCCUCUGAACUUUUCAGUGCUUUGUCCACACUCUACAUGAAAGGGCCUCUUAAGAGUGACAGGGCAGUAUUCUAAAGACCAGAUUUUAAUUGCACCAGGUAACUGAAUUGUCUGAAUUCACAGCUGAACACAGGACAAGGUCAGAAUCAUAUUUCUUAUGCCAUUUAGAAAGGUGACAAGUGAAGGGCUGGCCAAAAUCUUACACCCAGCUUACGUAAGAGUAGAGACUGUCCCUAAUGCUUUCCCCAGUCCACUUGUCUCGAACACCAUUAGGUUCAAUAGUAAAAGCCCAUUUCUCACUUGCUUCAUGUUAAUUGACUGAUCACUAAUUUUACCAAUAAGAAGCCAUUUUUAUUAUUUAUCAUUAUGAUUUUUAUCAUUUUGUUAAUUAGCCAAGCUUCUGCUGUUGACUCCAGAUAAAGAGAGUUAAAGCACUUGGGGUGACCACCUAAGUAGAUUUUUUCAUGGUGAACAAAUGGAAGCAACAGAAACAGCUCAGACUUUUGAAAAGUGAUGAAAAAGGCCCAUGAUGCCCUGCUCCUUGAAAAUGAAGAAGAGGAUGACUUAGCCCUGCAGGGCUCUUUUCUUUGCAUGUUCUUACCAACCCUCAGGGGAGAUUCAGUCUACUAGCUGGCUUCCCCACGUGGACCUCACUCUGUGGCAAGUAACUGGGAGUAAUUUACCUUCUGGGUUCUCUUACAACCCCCUUAGCUAUGUAGGUGAUUUCAGGCCCAAGGGGGAAGAUAUCAGAUAAGCCAGAACAUUUUGAUUCUACUGACCGAGUUUCCUCACCUCCCUCCCUUUGUUUCUGAUAAAUACAUACGUUAAGGUCAGCUGAAGAGUUGUCUGUGAUAAUUGCCCUGAAUCCUCACUCACUCCUCUGAAUUUCUGUCUUCUGUAGCCUCUUAGCCAUGUUGCAGGUGAAGGUCUCAAGUCAUUUGCACCACUAGGAAUCGUUUGUGUUAUUGUGACUGAUAUAUGUCCUCAGAGUUGUAUCAGUGUUGUCCCCUACACACACAUGCACAUACAUGCACCACACAAUAUGCACGUUCUAUAAGACAGAGCCUCUAUUUUUGGUGUCUGCUUAGCCCUCCAGUUUCCCAUUGGGAUUAGUUGUUUUCUCCAAGCUUCAGACAACUUGGAGAUCCUGCCUAACUUUGGUUGCUCUUCCUUGUCAGACUGGAACUUACCCUCAGUAUGGUACAACCAAUCACUGGCUCUCAGGGAACUCAUCACCCUGAACUAUGCCUGACAGGACAGGAGCACCAUCAUCUCGGACAAACACUGCCACUUUAAGUUCCAGCUCCCUUUCUAGCCUCAGGCAUUUCAAGAAAAUCACUUGUCUUCUCAUUACAAGCAGUCAGAAAGAGCAGACAGUAAAAUACAGAUAAGACGGGCACAGAGGGAAGUGGGAGGAAAGUCUCUUGGGUAACUGCCAAACUUCACCCUCAUACAAUGGGCCCCAGUAAAACAGUGGGCCUUAAUAAGCACAUUCCUUUCCUUUCAGGUGCACUAAGAUAGGAAGGCUAAAGGCAGAUUGGGGGGAUAUGCCUGCAGCUACAGAAAGAUGUAUGGGAACAGACACACAACUCUCCCUCCCAAAUAAGCACAACAGAGAGACACAGAAGCAGUCCAAGCCUCUGAUAAACUCUCCCACCCUGAAUCUUUAAAAACUCUUAGUCUGCAAGAGAGUGUGGCUUCUGACCUAACUCGAUCAGAAGUCCCUCCCAGGUUUAAAAUAAACCUGUUAACUGUUGAGCCACCCUUCGUGUUUCUCUCCUCUUUCUUUAAUUCUUACAAUGCCUUCCUGAUGGCUGACUGCCAGGAAACCCCUUGGAUACAAUAGCCUGAAGCUGCUUACUCCCCUGGGUGUUGCCCUCCUGGCUACCCAUGGAAGAGCAAGCCCUGUUGACAAGAGCUUCCCCCAGCUCUAAUCCUACCUGGUUAUGGUUUAUUUUCUUUCCCCACCAUCUGGGCAGUUAUGUUGGCCCAAGGAAUUUGACUCAGUAUUAUCAUAGCAUAGAGCUAAUUUUAUAUGUAUUUAUUUCCAUGGUAAACAAGUUAUUCCCAUUGUCUGUCAUUCCCACUAAGCCUGCUAGGGACAGCCCAAAGGAGCAGCUCUAAGUGAGGAUACUUUGCCCUGUAUGACCCCGUCCCUAGAGCAGAUUGGUUCAUGGUUGACACCUAACAAAAAGACAGCCAAUCGAUAGGUUGGUCAGCAACUUUUCUCAUAACCUGACGCAUACAUAAAAGCUGGGUUAAACGCCAUUUCUACCUUGGAAAUUUAACCAAAGAAAGGUCAAGAAAAAGCGAAAAGACUUGGGAGGAUGCUUUGAAAUGAAAAGAUAAGAAUUGGAGCUACAGUAGGUUGUAAGAAGCCCCGGUUGCAAAAUAUUGAAACUAUGAGCAAGCUGUAGUGAUGGUGGAGAGAAGAGUUUCAGGCCAAGGGAAAGAAGCAGCUCAGAGGAGACUGAGCUAGGCCAGUGGACAUGGCCCCCUAACUCCUGCCACAGAGCCCUGGAGUCUCCUGGAGCCAGAGUGGCUCCUCAGUCCCAGGGCAGUGAGGCCUAUCCCUUCCAAUGCCUCUUCCUUCCUUCUGUGGAAGACCAACUCCAUUGAUGUUCCAUGUUUAUCUCCCUCCUGAGCUAACCUAGCUGAGUCUGCUCCUUACAAUCAAGAAAACCCACCCACUUUACUGGAUUCUCUCUGUGUGCAGCGAUG